AACGAACGCUGGCGGCAUGCCUAACACAUGCAAGUCGAGCGCCCUUUCGGGGUCGCGUCGGACGGGUGAGUAUCGCGUGGGGAUAUGCCCUUCUCUACGGAAUAUCCUCGGGCAACUGAGAGUAAUACCGCAUACGCCCUGUGGGGGAAAGAUUUAUCGGGGAUGGAUUGGCCCGCGUUGGAUUAGGUAGUUGGUGGGGUAAUGGCCUACCAAGCCGACGAUCCAUAGCUGGUUUGAGAGGAUGAUCAGCCACACUGGGACUGAGACACGGCCCAGACUCCUACGGGAGGCAGCAGUGGGGAAUCUUAGACAAUGGGGGCAAGCCUGAUCCAGCCAUGCCGCGUGAGUGAUGAAGGCCUUAGGGUUGUAAAGCUCUUUUAGCUGGGAAGAUAAUGACGGUACCAGCAGAAGAAGCCCCGGCUAACUCCGUG
rnacentral:rRNA from 1 species